rnacentral:snoRNA from 1 species
UUUGCUAUGAUUAUUUGCAGUAGUACCAAUUGUUCCAACUGAAUUGUCCUAUGUCGACAUAAGCAUUUAUCGUUAAGUUUCAGCCUUGUAUGAGCUUU